CGCUAAGUAAUCUAGCUGGUAAUAUUGAAUUCACUUGGAAAUAAGAUUCACCCCAAAGUACUAAUCUCUUCCCUUGAGGAAGAGUGGGUAUCCUCAUAUUAAUGGAUUGGGUAAUCAUAAUAUGUUUAUCUCUUUCUUUCUUCCUACCCGCCGGCUAAUUGAUAUUAUUUUUCUUUACACUCUAACCUUAUAUCUCUCUCUAAAUUUAUUUUUCUCUCUAAAAUUCAAUUUUUUUCUCUCUCUAAACUAAGCUUUCUCUCUCUCUCUCUCUUUCUAAAAUUUCAACUCUCUCACUCCCUCUAAUUUCGACUAUAUUUUUCUUUCUAUUUUUUUAAUUAUGCUCUCUCUCUCAAACUUAUACUCUCUUCAUUUUUUCUAAAAAUAUGUUGAAAUUUUUUGUAACAUUAUCUAAAAUUAAUUAAAUAAAUAAAUAAAUAAAUUGUAUAUUUUUUGUAAUAUUAAAUAACAUGGCUAAUUAAUAUUACCGUGCGAACCAAACACAGGAAUCCCACAUUCUUAGUACUAGGAUGAAUAGGAAUAAGGUUCUCGGAUAUCUUUUAUUCCUAGUAAUCUUUCAUAAUGCGAACCAAACGCACCCUAAAACCUA
rnacentral:lncRNA from 1 species